GGUAAACAUGAAAAAAAAAUUAUCUUUUUACAUCAUUGGUCAUGGACAAACUAGAAACUUUUAAGAUAAAUGAUUACCGACUCACUUUCCACAACAAUGCAGACAAAAAGGAGUAUAAUAAGAAUAAUCUUGUAAAUUAAUUGAUUCAGCACAACAAGGCUUAAUACAAGAGGGUUUAAUAUAAAUGAUACUUGUCAAAGAUAUUGCAAUACUCCAUUAAUCAUAUGUUGUUCACCUGUGGCGAAUAUAGAAAUCAAUGAAUAAAUUUAUCUGGCGGGGGGCAAAAUUUUAUAAAAAGAGUAAUUGCAGUGCAUAUACAAGAAAAACUUGCAUAUUUGCGGUGAUGGAAUUCAGAUUUUUUAAGUGACGUGUUCUUUUAAUGUCCAUAGCACCGCUAUCAUCUAAUACUUCAACCAAAUGUGUACUACAUCUUCGAACCCUAUAUAUCAUUAUUACGCGUGAAGAGAUAGAACACGUUCAUCACUUCAAUCAAUACACUAUUAUUUAUAAAAAUAUCUAUCUAAUCUUUCUAAAUCUCUUUGGUUUCUCCGUAGAUAUGAUCCGCCUUCUCUCACAAUCUCCCUGUUUUAUCCGUCAGAACCCUUGCUAAGAAAUUAUCCCCAAUCCAUCUCAUCUCUUUGAUUUCUCCGACAGAACCCUUGUUCCGAAAAAAUCUCCCGUCUAUCGAAUACGAGAUCAACUCUCUGUCGAAAUCCUUUCUCCAAAAUAAUAUCACAUCCGCCGGGUCCUAUUCUUCAUUCACACCAUUCUUGAUUGUCUCCAUUACGAUUGUCUUGAUAUCAUCUAAUCUCCUGUUGGCAAAUAUGGAGACCAUUGAGUUAGCAUCUCGGAUUUUUGCUGCUGGAGAGGAACCAGUAUAAAGGAAAGCGACGAUAUAUCGUUGUCUCAAAGCACCAUAGCUCUGUCCGGUUACGUCCAGUCCCUCCAGAUGGUCAUGACAAAAGUCGUACCUGCUCUCACUGAAGUUGUAUGGCAAGACUCUGCAACCGAUGUAGCUGGUGCUGAGGAUGAUGAUUUUUCAUAUACCCCCCCUAGUAAUGGUAUCAAGCCAGCACACACAAGGACGUUGGAUACUGCUAAAAGUGUGAGCCUUUUUCACACUUCUUGUUUAUUAUUUCCUGCUUUUCGACCAUUCAUGUUUAUCCAACUAUUGAUGACAUUGUAAUGAAAUUCUAAAAGAUAGCCGGCUAAGCUAACUGAAGCAUGUUAUUUCUU